UCCACGCUUCUAUUUUAUCUUCUUUUAAUUAUAUAUUUUGAGACUUGUAUAAGCCUUUUUUUUUAUAAUUUUCUAUUUUAAUUAUGGCCAGUCCCUUCUUCACUGUGAAUGUCAAUUGUUAAUUUCUUUUUCGUUCCAAUUUUAUAGAGUGUCCCGAUAGGCAAACCCAUUUGAUUUCGCUUCUGCAUUUAUCCUGAACCCGUAAUGCGGUCUGCAACCCUUAUCUUCUAGUUUUCCUUCCAGCCCUCCAGAAUAUGGCGAUUCUGACCCGUCCAUUUUACAGAAGAUAAACCUCUGGAACUGAAUUGAGUUGUGGGUACUGGGUACAAUUCAGAUAGCAAUAAUGCCAGGUCUAGUCUCAGCACAGAACCCUGCCAAUGCAAAGCCAUUACACAGUUACUUCCGCGAAAACGACGUUAAAACGCCAUCUCCGCUCCUAAAGCGAACCCCAUCACCCUCCAAGUGCAACCCACGAGCCUUAUCCUCCUACAAAACCCCUGAGAAGCUCCCCAUCGACGAGCCCUCUCCCGACAAC
rnacentral:misc_RNA from 1 species